CAAAGGGAUCUCAUUAAUAAUGAUGACCUGCGAGAGAGUAAAGACAAUGAGUGGUUUGGGCAAGAGAGAGAGAUACUUUGGCAAUGGGGGAGAAAGAGAGAGAGAGAAGUAGAAAGAGGAUCGUCAGACUCAAUUCGGUACGGAACACUCGAGUGCUUUGUGCUUGUUAAGGUGGUCAGGUGAAAAGUUAGAUCAAAGCUAUGAAUAAUAGUUUAGUGUGUCAUCCUCUUUGCUUUGUAGGUUCAGAAUUGAGCAUUGUUUAUGUUCGUGGUUUAUGUAUGCCAUAUGUUGUGUACUAAUUGUUUGGUUUUAUCAAUGAAAUUCAUUAGACAAUAAGAACCAAAAGGCAACAUUUUUUGCUAUCUUUAAUCUCAAAAGCUGACAUGUCGGCAACAUCUUUUAGACCGGUACUUUCGGGUAACAUUUUUGAAACGUUUUUCGUCUUUCUUUCCGAACCAAAUGAGAUAAGAAAAGAAAAAAGUUAAUCGUUUCCACUUGUCACUAUGGUAAAACUAAAUGCAGAAACUAAUUCCAUACGUACCAAGCUAAAGCAGACUAACCGGGAGUUCAAAUUUGUGACCAAAACAGGAAACAUAACUGAAACAAAAACAAUUACUCAGUCUAAGGAUGCAUUGAGAUAAAAGAAAUCAAAACACAGAAACCAUAGUGAACUAGUCCAACACUAAGUCACGGUGUUCUUCCUCCAUAAAUAGUAAUUGCUAUAAGAGUUUUUGGGUUCAAUGGUAAAAUAUAUUCUAAAAGACAACUGAAGUUAAAAGAAUA